AGAGUGUAAGAAAGGCAGGAAAAGUGAGUGGCGAGUGUGUGGGGCGACACUGUACCCUCCCCACUGUUUUGGAGGACAAAGUGAAAGAUGGAGGCGGAAGGAAGGGCCAGUGAGCUGCGUAUGCUUGACCUCUGAGUAGGGAAAAAAAAAAAAAAAAAAUGACACGUUUCGGAAACAACUUGUAUCAUAAGUAGAGAACGUGCAUCCCGUUAAGCAGCCGCGCAUUGCAAGGCCACGAGAGUACGUGGUAUGAUCGCAAGUGACACGUCCGGAAAUCAGCGUUUAAUUGCGUGUGUCUUAAUAGAAAAAAAUAGCUGAUUUCCAAAUUAUACAUCAAAGUAUGACCUCGUCUAGUUCAGGAGAGUCCUUCGUAUAAAUGCACUGGUGUGUGUGUGUGUGUGUGUGAGUGUUAUUGCUAGUUAUCUCUCUCUCUCUCUGUCAGUAGUUGCACAGGUCUUCAAGGGUAUUUUUACGGUUUUAGUGACAGAUUAACAACAUUUCUACAUUAAUAACAGGAGAAACAUCAUUGAAAACCCUGAUAAUCAUCUUUAUAGCUUUGAAAAACAGUCGUGAGGAGAGAGAGAGAGAGAGAGAGAGAGAGAGAGAGAGAGAGAGAGAGAGAGAGAGAGAGAGAGAGAGAGAAAGAGCAUUUCAGUUGAGCCUAUUCUGCCCUGGUUCGUGUUUGCUGCGGUGACACGGUGCCGCACUGAGUGAAGAUUGCGUUCAUAAUCACUUAUCGGGGGUGGAGUGGAGAAAGGACAGUCAGGAAGUGAGGAUAUUUAUAUUAUUUGACAUAUUAUUUGAUAGCAUGUCAACUUUUGUGUGUGUGUGUGUGUGUGUGUGUGGGUGGGUGUUGGAUCAGUGACAGGUGGCGCUGGGGAGUUACCACGGCGAGCGGCUGGCUGGCUGCAGUGUUUUGGUCAGCACUGGUCAAUCUUGCCCUACACGCUCUAUUAACCAGUGUUUCCGUCUUCCCGACACCUUCUUCUUGCACCAAGCACCGUCAAGCAUCACCAGAGAGGCACGAGUACGUAAGAUAAUCAAGGAGUUCCUGAGAUUAGAACCACAAGCGGAUGAACCAGACCCAAGAGUAGCAGUUUUGAAAGGGCUGGAGAAAUAUAGGCUCCCAAUAAUUGCCAUUCUCAAAAAAAGAAAAGCAGUUCCUCUGUAUAUGGAAACCUUACUUGAACUCUAUGGCCACGAUGAAAGUCAAUGCGAAUGCUUGCUUAGUUAUAUUGGGGUUACUUCACCUGCUUGGAGAAAGGAAAGACUCCAUUUUUACUAAGGUACCAGAAGAAGAACUAAGAACAGGGCAGUCUAGUGUGUAUUUGAUGGUGCACCUGUAGCUGAACCAACAUGUAUUUCUAUGGCUGUAGUCUCAUUGGUAGCAGGGCUUUGUGUUUAAUAUUGAACACCCCAAAAAUUGUGAACAUUUCCUCCGUUUCACAACAUCUCAUCUCUUAGGUAUCAAGUAUGAAAAAGGUAACACUUCAAAAACAAAAUCUCUACUUGUAAAACUCAAUGAAGUAAAGACAGAAUUGAGCUACAAAAAUGCAUAAAUCUGCUUCCAAAUAUAUUCAACUCCACACAUAAUGCCUCUCUCUCUCUCUCUCUCUCUCUCUCUCUCUCUCUCUCUCUCUCUCUCUCUCUCUCUCUCUCUCUCUCUCUCUCUCUCUCUGUCACACACACACACACACACACACACACACACA